UACGGAGGGUGCGAGCGUUGUCCGGAAUCACUGGGCGUAAAGGGCGCGUAGGCGGCCUGAUAAGUAGGGGGUGAAAUCCUGCGGCUUAACCGCAGGGCUGCCUUCUAAACUGUCAGGCUAGAGCACAGUAGAGGCAGGUGGAAUUCCCGGUGUAGCGGUGGAAUGCGUAGAGAUCGGGAAGAACAUCGGUGGCGAAAGCGCUCUACUGGGCCAUAACUGACACUGAGGGACGAAAGCUAGGGGAGCGAAAGGG
rnacentral:rRNA from 1 species